GCCUGGGUGGCUCAGUCGGUUGAGCGUCUAACUUCAACUCAGGUCAUGGUAUCACGAUGCGUGGGUUUAGGCCCCACAUCAGGCU
rnacentral:tRNA from 1 species